GCCAGCCCUGCUGAGCCCAGGGGAGCUACGUGCCACCACUGCCUCACCCACCAGGAAGCACGGAGGGCAAAACUCUGGAAGGUACCUCUGAGGCAAGAGCUCACUAACUCGAGCUUUGCUCAUCGAGAAGACGGAGCUCCCCUUCCUGCAAAUAACCUUUAGCAUGCGUGGCGACCUAUAUGGAAUAGGUUUGUAUUCACCCAUUGCAGACCAAAGCCACCUCUAGAUCCCAUUAACCUCUGCUAUAAAAGCAAGGGCUGAAAGCAGGGAAUGGAGUUUGGCUAUGCAAGUGCCAAGUGCCCUGCUGGAGUGGGAGCGCUUGCUCCCAGCGAUGCAGAGCACCUGUCAGCCCUGCUGCUCUGAGCCGGGCCUCCAGAGACAUUAAAUGGGAUUAACUCCAACAGCCUAAUCCGAUAUCUUCUGUAAAGAAGACGAUGUUUUAAAUAACUGUGUUUGCCCCACUUUGCCCCACUUUGUGCAUGUCACAUGGCAACGACAGUCUGAAAGAAGAUCAAAAGAGCUUUGGAGAAGACUCUGAUGGUAUACAGAUGGUCUUCCUUGUACAAGACUGUUAUCACUUACAAAGGCACUUUAUGAAACAGAGUUUUGGAACAAGAGGAUAAACACGGCUUCCAGUUUCAGAGGAAACAGUGAAUGAGACAUCAGCACAGGGACUCAAGAACUGAAGAUGGCGAAGCAAAUACAAGUGCAAUCUACUCCAUCAGCUAGUAUAUUAAAAAAUGUAUUAAAAAUAUAUUAAAAAAUGCAUUGCUGUUGCCUGCAAUUUAUCUAUUACGCUUAUAAGAAAAUAUG